GACGAACGCUGGCGGCGUGCCUAAUGCAUGCAAGUCGCACGCGGCACCUUCGGGUGCUGAGUGGCGAACGGCUGAGGAACACGUGGGGACCUGUCCGGGAGUGGGGGACAACACCGCGAAAGCGGUGCUAAUCCCGCAUACGCUCUGAGGAGGAAAGCCGAAAGGCGCUCCCGGGUGGCCCUGCGGCCCAUCAGGUUGUUGGUGGGGUAACGGCCUACCAAGCCAAUGACGGGUCGCUGGUCUGUGAGGACGACCAGCCAGACUGGGACUGGGACACGGCCCAGACUCCUACGGGAGGCAGCAGCAAGGAAUUUUCGGCAAUGGGCGCAAGCCUGACCGAGCAACGCCGCGUGCAGGAAGACGGCCUUCGGGUUGUAAACUGCUUUUGCUAGGAAUGAUAACAGACAGUACCUGGCGAAUCAGCCCCGGCUAACUCUGUG
rnacentral:rRNA from 1 species